rnacentral:rRNA from 1 species
UACGUAGGGUGCAAGCGUUAAUCGGAAUUACUGGGCGUAAAGCGUGCGCAGGCGGUUUUGUAAGACAGAGGUGAAAUCCCCGGGCUCAACCUGGGAACUGCCUUUGUGACUGCAAGGCUUGAGUGCGGCAGAGGGGGAUGGAAUUCCGCGUGUAGCAGUGAAAUGCGUAGAUAUGCGGAGGAACACCGAUGGCGAAGGCAAUCCCCUGGGCCUGCACUGACGCUCAUGCACGAAAGCGUGGGGAGCAAACAGG